rnacentral:rRNA from 1 species
GACGAACGCUGGCGGCGUGCUUAACACAUGCAAGUCGAACGAGAGGACAAGAGAAGCUUGCUUCUUUUGGAAUCGAGUGGCAAACGGGUGAGUAACACGUAAACAACCUGCCUUCAGGAUGGGGACAACAGACGGAAACGACUGCUAAUACCGAAUACGCUUGGGAGACCGCAUGAUCUUCCAAGGAAAGGGUGGCCUCUACUUGUAAGCUAUCGCCUGAAGAGGGGUUUGCGUCUGAUUAGGCAGUUGGUGAGGUAACGGCCCACCAAACCUACGAUCAGUAGCCGGUCUGAGAGGAUGAACGGCCACACUGGAACUGAGACACGGUCCAGACUCCUACGGGAGGCAGCAGUGGGGAAUCUUCCGCAAUGGGCGCAAGCCUGACCCAGCAACGCCGCGUGAAGGAAGAAGGCUUUCGGGUUGUAAACUUCUUUUAAGAGGGAAGAGCAGAAGACUGUACCUCUAGAUAAGCCACGGCUAACUACGUGCCAGCAGCCGCGGU